CCUACGGGAGGCAGCAGUGGGGAAUAUUGGGCAAUGGGCGCAAGCCUGACCCAGCAACGCCGCGUGAAGGAAGAAGGCUUUCUGGUUGUAACCUUCUUUUCUUAGGGACGAAGAAAGUGACGGUACCUCAGGAAUAAGCCACGGCUAGCUACGUGCCCGCCGCCGCGGUAAUACGUAGGUGGCAAGCGUUAUCCGGAUUUAUUGGGUGUAAAGGGCGUGUGGGCGGGAAAGCAAGUCAGCUGUGAAAACUCAGGGCUCAACCCUGAGCCUGCAUUUGAAACUGUUUUUCUUGAGUGCUGGAGAGGCAAUCGGAAUUCCGUGUGUAGCGGGGAAAUGCGUAGAUAUACGGAGGAACACCAGUGGCGAAGGCGGAUUGCUGGACAGUAACUGACGCUGAGGCGCGAAAGCGUGGGGAGCAAACAGGAUUAGAUACCCGGGUAGUC
rnacentral:rRNA from 1 species